rnacentral:rRNA from 1 species
UACGUAGGUGGCAAGCGUUGUCCGGAUUUACUGGGCGUAAAGAGCGCGCAGGCGGUCGAAUAAGUCGAAUGUGAAAGCCCCCGGCUUAACUGGGGAGGGUCAUUCGAUACUGCUCGACUUGAAGGCAGGAGAGGGAAGUGGAAUUCCCGGUGUAGUGGUGAAAUGCGUAGAUAGUCGGGAGGAACACCAGUGGCGAAGGCGACUUCCUGGCCUGUUCUUGACGCUGAGGCGCGAAAGCUGGGGGAGCAAACGGG